CCCAGUUAAAUCCAAGCGCUCCGGACAAAACCCAGUCCAAAAGACACAGAGAGAAAGAAACAAAGCGAUAGAGAAUUCCAAUUUCCUUUGGAGAGAGAGAGGAAAGCACUCUCUUUUCCUCCUCCUCCAAGGCCAACAAAAUAUAUCGCUCUUUUAUUCUUCCCCUUUAAAGGGGAACCACCGAGCCAGCCUAAAGCUAGGAAGAGCUCCACUCUACCUGGUUUAUUUGGAGGGGAGUAUGUGUUUUCUUGAUGCUUGUUUCGUGUGGUGGGGUGGUGGGCGGUGAGUUUAAAGCGCCCCGGGUGGUUCUCUUUAACGUGUCCUUUGGAAUAUCUUUUCAGAGGGUAUGAGCUUUAGAAGUGAUAUGGAUUCCACAGCUUAUCAAAGCAAAAGAAGAAAAGGUUUUGGCUACAAGAAUCUUUCCCCUUGUUGUUCUUCUAUUCUGUAGGGGAUCUAUGUCUCCAUGCUUGUGAUUUUAGCUUAAGAAAAAUGAUUAUCAUUUACUAUCUCUGGCUGGUAUGUGAAUUUCGAGUACAAUGACUCGUACAUUGAGAUAUCGUUGUAGAGAUGUGAGGUUUGAUUGGUGCAAUACAUCAUUGCCUAAUAUUCUCUUGGUAUCUUGGUUUCUACUUGUAUUUCAUACAACAUAAUCUCUUCGAGCUAGCGAAGGUUGAUUUUGAAAAAAAAAAGAAGAAAUCUAAGUUUCUUGAUAUGUGUUUGCCUUGAGGCUAA